rnacentral:rRNA from 1 species
CCUACGGGUGGCAGCAGUGAGGAAUAUUGGUCAAUGGGCGGAAGCCUGAACCAGCCAAGUCGCGUGAGGGAUUAAGGCCCUGCGGGUCGUAAACCUCUUUUGCCGGGGAGCAGAGGUCCGGACGUGUCCGGGCCGGGAGAGUACCCGGAGAAAAAGCAUCGGCUAACUCCGUGCCAGCAGCCGCGGUAAUACGGAGGAUGCGAGCGUUAUCCGGAUUUAUUGGGUUUAAGGGGUGCGUAGGCGGGCGUUAAGGCCGGCGGUCAAAUGUCGGGGCUCAACCCCGGCCUGCAGUCGGUACUGGGUGCCUUGAGUGGGCGAGAAGUAGGCGGAAUGCGUGGUGUAGCGGUGAAAUGCAUAGAUAUCACGCAGAACCCCGAUUGCGAAGGCAGCAUACCGGCGCCCUACUGACGCUGAGGCACGAAAGUGCGGGUAUCGAACAGGAUUAGAUACCCUAGUAGUC